ACCAUUCCCAUCCUAAACCAUUUUCAGUCUAGAGUAACAGGUAUUGCCAUCCAGGCUAAAGUUGAGGGUAGAAAAAAGUGUUUGUGUGAAAAGAAAUCAGAUUUUGAUUAUCUUAAACAUGCAUUGGUCAGUAGUCAACAGUCCCAACACCUGGUAGGACUGAGUUGUGUAUUCAUCUUUUGUUUAAAGUACAUCUUUAAGAUAACCAUCACUUCUCCAAAAAAAAAAAUCAGCAAUUUAUUCAAACUCAACUCCCGUAGCUCUUUCCAAAAAGAACAGAAGCUAUGUGUGACCAGCAAAGUGCAUUUUUUUCUAUCCUUCUACUCAUUUAAAAACACAGCAGCUGCAACCUACAUUUAAAAAAACCUGAUCUGUACAGUCAUUUAAGGUUUUUUAUGUCAUUUCUCAACAAACUAAUUGAUUUUAGAUGUACUACAAACAUGCACUUUAAACUACAAUUGUUAGCACUUCGCCUAUAUCGACAUGUCAAGGUUCCAAGCUGUUAUAAAGCUUACCUGAACCAUUCCAGCUUUACUCCCCUGAAGUAAAUUUCCAUUUGGAUUUUCCAGUUAUCAAAGAUUAUUUCAAGAAGUUGCCUCCGUCAUAUUUACCACUUCAAGGGAAAAAGGUGCUGGGAUCCAAGAAAGACCUCAAUGCAGUAACUGUCAUGUCUAAUUAUACACUUUGGUGCAAAACUACAUACCCUUCGAUACCCUUUUGCCCACAGUAUAUACCAAAAUCCAUAUAGGGGAAGUAUUGCAGCUAGAAAGAAGAACUCUAGAAGACAAAUACAGAAGACCUGAACUCAGAAAACAAAUGCAGAAGACAGCCUCAGCUCAACUCAGACCAGAUGUAGAAUUCACAAAACCUGAGUAUUUUCCCCUAUGCUGGUGGCAUACCUUUACAGAUGCUUGAUUCACAACUAAGACUGAGUCUACAUAAACUGAUGUUCACUUAUCAAACAGUAGCCACUGAAGCUUUUCCAUAACAUCUCAACGUCAGUGGAGGAAAAUGCACAAUAGCUUAACGCAAAGUAAUUGGAAACAAAACUGCUUCACAAUAGAAAUAAGAACAGGGGGAAAGGGGGCCAACGGGAAAAUCAUUACCAGUUUUUUGUUUUGGAGCUGGGAAGGAAAUAUGUUUAAUGAAAAUUCUGCACGAUAAAGUUUCCAUAACAGCAGACAAACAUCUCCUGUCAAUUUACAGUCAAACUCCUCCUGAGAGCAUCAAGGUCAAUCAUCACACAAAAAGCAACACUAAGAAAUAACAACCGUGCAAACAAUGAAAACAAAUUAACACAUAAGACUCUUCAAUCAAACUGAUAGAAUUUGCCUUUAUCUGUUCAGUUGAAUGGUACUUAUGACUUGAAAUUGUGGGUUUAGUUUAACUACACAGCUUCUAUAAAGAAGAGACUAAAUCUAAAAAAAACCUACUGAAAACUUGGCAGUUAACCACUGUCACAACUUUUUCAGAAGGCUACAGAGGACUUGAAAAUGAUCAAGAACGAUUAAUUACACUCACUCCUUUCCCCAAGAGCAAAAACAACUGCAGAAUUUAGAAAGCUGAAAUCCAAGACUGAGAACUACGGUAUAGUAUAGUAUAUACAAGGUAUAAGUCACCAAUGCUAUUAGGCAGAGAUUAAAGACAGGGCAAGUCACAUACCAAAUGAAAUAAAAAUCUAGGUUUUCAAACCUAUUUAUGGUAACCAACAGCCAUAUCAUGAAGUGCGAUAGUGAGCAGUUUAACUACAUUAAAAAUAAUUCCUUAACUCCUUCCCCUGAAUCUAUGGAACAUUCUUAAGCAGGGAAGUGUUAGGUGAUAAAAUUAUAUGCUUAUUUAAAUCAGCCUAAGCCACUACCCAACAUCAUCACAGUUUUACCCUGCUCCUGACUUUACAGUACUUGAGGCUAAACUUCUGAAGCGCCUUUGGUUAGCUUUUUCAAGAGAACAUAAUUUGCCUUCCUCUAUAUUAUGUUUUAUGGUCACAUUUAAGAGUGUAUCAGCGAAACGAUCCAUCCCAUUUGUAACAUAAUCCACCCCGCUAUAGCUGAACAUGUAAUGAUGUAUU